AUGCUGGCUUUGGCAGCACAUAUACUGAAAAUGGAAUGAUACAGAGAUUAACAUGGCCUCUGUGCAAGGAUGACCCACAAAUUAGUGAAGCGUUCCAUAUUUAA
rnacentral:snRNA from 1 species